UGUCGCUGGUGCUGCUACCACCGCCGCCGUCACCGCCACCGCCGCUUCCACCGCUGUCCUCGUCAAGCACCUCAACUUCAACGCCGAGACUUUUACCUUAGAUAAACGCGUGCUGCUUUCGUACUCGUACGCGUGUAUAUGCAUCUCGACGUGUACGUAUCUUAACGGACUAGUGAUCCCAGAACGUGUUGCGUCCUAGCUAGCAAUACAAGUGGGUGUGGGUUUCGUUCGUAUGACUGGCGUGUAUGCAUGCGCGUGUGUCGCGUCUAUGUGCCGUGCCGUAUGUAAUUGCGCUCGCGCGCACUAUGGCCAUAUACGAUCGCUCGUUUGUGUGUACAUUCGUGUAAGGAUGGCGUAAGGGGAGAGGGUGCAUCGUCGAAGCGUUGGAGGGUUUGAGGCAGUAAAACUGGCUGGCCUACAAUGUCCGCUAGUAUGCGGAGCACUUUGCAAACUGUUCCAGAAUCAGUGCCGGCCGACCACGUCACAAACUCCAAAUUGACUGGUGUUUCUGCCGACAAACCGAACAACGCAAGCGUAUGAGAAGCACGUGAAUUUUUAUGCCGAGUGCGUCAA